rnacentral:rRNA from 1 species
UCUACGGUGCCACAUAAAGUUCUCAUCUCGGUUCAUACAGACUGCAUACCUACGGCCACUAUCUCCGUGGAAGCUUCCAAAGCUUUUGAUCCGGUUUAUCACGACAUGGUCACACUAGCUGCAUCAAUGUUCGGCCUUCUAUCUCCUGUGGUGGACUACCUCCGGUCGCUCUGUAAUGGCUCUGUGGUCCGACUCGGUGACGAAUCAAUCUCUUGUUUCCAUGAUGUACGGCAAGGUGACCCUUUUGCUCUUCGCUGGUCACUGCGGUCAUGGGCAAGGUGCUUCUCAACUCUGCACCCGCUCUGGGUGUUACUGUUGGUGGUGCGCCUAUUGACCAUUUAGCCUGCGUGGAAGACUUGGUGCUACUUGCGGGAAAUGCUGAUCGUCUCCGGGGGUGCCCUGGGGCCCUCUGGAAGUCGUUGGCUGUGGCUGACGUGCUUCAAUGGUAACAAAUCAAUCGAGCUUGCGAUGAGGAAGGAUGGGAAGGAAAAACGUGAGAUCCUUCGGCCUACCGCCCAAGAGGUCUGCGAGGCCCGGGUACAACCACUGGCAGUUGCUCCGCAAGUCAAGUACUUGGGUCUAUCGUUUACUAGGAAAGGACGCCCACAACCACGGUCAAGGGGGAAGCUUGAAUUGGUGCUGCUCUUCACCACCAAGGCACCUCUGAAGCAGCAACAAAGCUUGGAAGUCAUGUCUCGAGUCGCACUUCCCAAAGCCAAAUCAUGAAUUCGUUCUUGGUAUGGCUCAUCGGCGAACACUCAAGUUUAUGGACGUUAUAGUGCACGCGCUGGUCCGUGCUUGACUUCCAGUUUGCAGGGAUAAGAUGUUCGGCCUCUAUGCCAAACGAGCUUCAGGAGGCCGGACCUGCCCAACCUAUCCACCAAAGCACCCCUGGCCCAGAGAGCGCGGUUGGAACGCUUGGCAAGAUCAUCCUCGAUGCCGGCAGUAUGGCUCCCUCAGCUUUUGUGUCUCAUCAAUUGGUUCGGAAGGCCAAAACACAGGUCCAAGCGGGGUCAUCUGCGGCAAAUUCGAAAAGUGACGUCUUCUCAGCUUGGUCCGCCCAUCCUCUCAGUUUGUCUGUAGGUAGUGGUCUCCGGAACUUCCUGACGGAUCCUGCUAGUCUUCUCUGGUUAGGAGCUGAUGACUUGGCCCCUCCAAGACUGCUCCUGCAAGCGACUUGGCUAGGAGAAGGGGUGCUCUCAACUAAAGUACAUCGGGCGCGAGGAUAAGUAGUCCAUACCGAGGACGUAAUGUGUCGGGGUGGAUGCGGUGCUGUCGGGUCUGCUGAUCAAGUUCUCCAACACUGCGCUUCGGCCCACUAAUUGCAUUGGCAAACGGCGUAACAAAGUGGUCCGUUGGUUGACUUGUUCUUUCAAGGAGAGACCUUCCUGUCUUGGUCUAGCCUAAUGUCCCCCUGGCGCAAAGGUUUUGCAAACCGGACCUUAUUUUGUACAACGGUGACCUCGUACAUUUCCUUGACAUGUGUUCAGUAUCCGGUUAAUCUGCUGGAUCUGCCUGGAGAACUAAAAUUGAGAAAUAAUCUGCUACCUUGGUAGGGGAUUCCAUCAAGCUUACGUUGGGCCAAACUACUGUUACGCUCACACACUGCCCGGUCGUUAUCUCCAACCACCGCCUCCUUCUCAAGCUAUCGGAUUCCGUUUUGCGUCACCUUGGUCUUCGUCCAUUCAACUUGGCUCGUGCUUGUGAACUGUUGCCCAAGGCUCGCUGAAGAUCUACGACGUCUAUAUGAACGGUCUCAAAGAAUGGCCAGACUGAAGUAUUGGACAAUGGAUCGGCUUCACUUAUGACUUCCUGUACGUAAACAUGCCAGGAGGUACACAGCCUAUGCAAAGGAGGCUUGGGACGCGUGUACAGUCCUCUCCAGUCAGAUGCUGAGUGCUCUCAAAAAACAGUCUUGCCUGAUUCCCCCUCCCCCCAUUUUUCUUACUUGAAUUUUUUUCUACCCCCUAUUGUUGUGUGUUCUAACUGGACAGCACAUAAUAUCAUAGCCAAAAGCCCCAUCAUUUAUUAUUGACUCGCAUGAAUGGAUUAAAAAAAUUCCCCCUGUCCCCAUCUACUAUGUGGCGAAACCACAGCCAAGGGAACGAGCUUGGCCAAAUUAGUAGAAGAAGAAGUCCCUUUGAAGAUUGACUCUGGUCCGACUUCGUGGAGGGACAUGAAAGGGGUGUAAUAGGUAAGAGGCCGGUCCUUCAGGUCUCGCAGACGGUGAAAUAGCACCACGGCCACUGUUUUUUGCAUUUUCAGUAAAACAAGAAAUUGCUUUUGGUUUUAAUCACGUACUAGUGCAGUGGCGCACGCCGCGGGGGUUGGUAUCUUAGUCAUCUCAGAGCAGUCGUGGUCUCAGUCGCGGCCUUUGAGUCUGUUUUGAUGUGCAACCCGUUCUGAAGACAGUGUCAAGCGGAAAGUUUGACCGGGGAGGUACAUCUGUCAAAUGGUGACGCAGGUGUUCCAUGGUGAGCUCGGCCGGGACGGAAGCCUGGCUUGGAGUAAAAGGGCAAAAGCUCACUUGAUUUUGACUUGCAAUACGAAUACAGACCUUGAAAGCUUGAACUAUCGUUCCUUUUUAAUCCGAUAUUCAGAGUAUGAUGCAAGGGGUGUCAGAAACGUCACCACAGGGAUAGCUGGCUUGUAGCGGCCAAGCUUUCACGGCAAAGCCUCUUUUUGCCACUUCGAUGUCGGCUCGCCCUAGCUUUGUGAAACAGAAUUCAUCAAGCUUUGGAUUGUUCACUCGAUAAUUGGGAACGUGAGCUAGGGUUGGACUUUCAAGAGACAGGUUAGUUUUACCCAACUAAUGAGUACUUUGAAACAGUGAAGCGAAAGGUGGACUUCUCUAUGGUAAUCCUGUCUGGCGCGAGAGAAGCCGCAGGUUCAGAUGUUUGGUAUAUGUGCCUGGUUGAAAGGCCAGUGGUGCGAAGCUGUCAUCUGAGGGACUGGAACGGAAGGCCUCCAAGUCCGAAUCCCGCCCAGAUAUGCAAAGGUAUGUUCAGCGCCUGACACUAGGCUAGGCUAGUAUACGUAUUCCUUUUGGUGCUUGACCCAUGCUAUGUGCCUGGCUGGGCCAGGUAGGUCUGUUUUAAUGCCGGAUCGAUAGGACCACAACUGUACCCUGGACUUCAGAGUGUAAAAGUCGACGCUAUACCCAAAAGUGGUUUGAGGGUGAA